rnacentral:rRNA from 1 species
AUGGAAAAUCUUUCAGUUUUAGUUCUUGAUCGAGAUCCGGUUUCCCUGUGGACCAUCUCCAAUACGCUUGCUAGAUUCAACUUCAAAGUUCUUCCAUUCGAAACAGUGGAAGAGGCCCUAGAUUCCCUUAAAAGGGGGGUUGCUAAAAAUGAGGAGCUUGAUUUGGUAGUAGCGGAAGUUCAUCCUGGCAAUGCAGAGAUGGACACCUUGGUGCUGUUUCACCGCAUCCUGAAUGCACUUGAAGUGCCUCUCAUCACUAUGUGUGCCUAUGAUGAGGCAGUCUCUACACGCAUGACCCUUGGAACAUGCUUCAAUGUGGUUAAGCCGUUGGAUACUGAAACCGUCAAUUUUCUGAGGAUGAGAGCACUUCAACACAGGUCUAUUAAAAAUCACAGGUCUAAAACUGAGGAUCAAAAACAAGAUGCGUUGAACGCGAAUGUCUAUUCAGAGAAUCUGGGUUGGUUCUUAUGGAGCAGUGAGCUCCAUGAGAAGUUCUUGCAGGCUGUUGAAGUGCUUGGGCCGUCUGCUACGGCUCGAAACAUUCACCAGUACAUGAAUGCCAAGGAUUUGAAUUUGACCAUACAGCAUGUUGCAAGCCAUCUCCAGAAACACCGGCUGCGAGCGCAGAGGCAGAGGUUAUCUCAUGAUGAAGAGGGCUAUCAACAUUAUGCCAGCAUGAAGGAAUUAUCCGAGAUGAGUCAUCAGCAUACAAGGCACCCAGUGCUAAACCCAAUAAUCAUUUGGCAACAACCCAGACGCAGUUCACACAUGGGGUUGCCUCUUCUAUCUGGGACAAGUACCCCGGGAUGGUGUGGCCACACAUGGAGGGAAGUUCAGCAGCCUCUGCUAUGUGGUACAAUUACCCCGGAAAGCGGUGGGGACAAGUUGGGGAGAGUUCGGCUGGAGCACGAGUUUCUCAGACUAAUGCACGUCCACCUCCAGUUCUGA